GAUGAACGCUGGCGGCGUGCCUAAUACAUGCAAGUCGAGCGAACAGACGAGGAUCUUGCUCCUCUGACGUUAGCGGCGGACGGGUGAGUAACACGUGGAUAACCUACCUAUAAGACUGGGAUAACUUCGGGAAACCGGAGCUAAUACCGGAUAAUAUAUUGAACCGCAUGGUUCAAUAGUGAAAGACGGUUUUGCUGUCACUUAUAGAUGGAUCCGCGCGGCAUUAGCUAGUUGGUAAGGUAACGGCUUACCAAGGCAACGAUGCGUAGCCGACCUGAGGGGGUGAUCGGCCACACUGGAACUGAGACACGGGCCAGACUCCUACGGGAGGCAGCAGUAGGGAAUAUUCCGCAAUGGGCGAAAGCCUGACGGAGAAACGCCGCGUGAGUGAUGAAGGUCUUCGGAUCGUAAAACUCUGUUAUUAGGGAAGAACAAAUGUGGAAGUAACUAUGCACGUCUUGACGGUACCUAAUCAGAAAGCCACGGCUAACUACGUG
rnacentral:rRNA from 1 species